CAGUAGCCGCGGUAAUACGAAGGGUGCAAGCGUUACUCGGAAUUACUGGGCGUAAAGCGUGCGUAGGUGGUGGUUUAAGUCCGUUGUGAAAGCCCUGGGCUCAACCUGGGAAUUGCAGUGGAUACUGGGUCACUAGAGUGUGGUAGAGGAUAGUGGAAUUUCCGGUGUAGCAGUGAAAUGCGUAGAGAUCGGAAGGAACAUCUGUGGCGAAGGCGGCCAUCUGGGACAACACUGACGCUGAGGCACGAAAGCGUGUGGAGCAAACAGGAUUAGAUACCCGAGUAGUCCCUGUCUCUUAUAC
rnacentral:rRNA from 1 species